rnacentral:rRNA from 1 species
GGCGCCGUCGUCCGGCCCCGAGCGUAGCAAGAGAAAUCCCUCGCUCGGUGGACCGUCCAGCGGCCGCCACGACCACUUUCACAAGGUUGGCCUCGGAUCAGGUGGGAAUACCCGCUGAACUUAAGCAUAUCAAUAAGCGGAGGAAAAGAAACCAACAGGGAUUGCCUCAGUAACGGCGAGUGAAGCGGCAACAGCUCAAAUUUGAAAUCUGGCUCCUCAGGCGCCCGAGUUGUAAUUUGUAGAGGAUGCUUCGGGUGAAGCCGCGGUCCAAGUCCCUUGGAACAGGACGUCAGAGAGGGUGAGAACCCCGUACCUGGCCGCCGGUGCCCCCCGCUGUGAAGCUCCUUCGACGAGUCGAGUUGUUUGGGAAUGCAGCUCUAAAUUGGUGGUAAAUUCCAUCUAAAGCUAAAUACCGGCCAGAGACCGAUAGCGCACAAGUAGAGUGAUCGAAAGAUGAAAAGCACUUUGAAAAGAGAGUUAAAAAGUACGUGAAAUUGUUGAAAGGGAAGCGCUUGCGGCCAGACUUGCCCGCGGAUGCUCAGCCCGCCUUCUGGCGGGUGCACUCUUCCGCGGUCAGGCCAGCAUCGGUUUGGGCGGUCGGACAAAGGCGCCGGGAACGUGGCCCCCCUCGGGGGGUGUUAUAGCCCGGCGUGCAAUGCGACCAGCCCGGACCGA